GAUGAACGCUGGCGGCGUGCCUAAUACAUGCAAGUCGAGCGAACAGACGAGAGUGCUUGCACUCUCUGACGUGAGCGGCGGACGGGUGAGUAACACAUGGGUAACCUACCUAUAAGACUGGGAUAACUUCGGGAAACCUGAGCUAAUACCUGAUAAUAUUUAGCUUCGCAUGAAGCAAUAGUGAAAGACGGUUCUGCUGUCACUUAUAGAUGGACCCGCGGUGUAUUAGCUAGUUGGUGAGGUAACGGCUCACCAAGGCAACGAUACAUAGCCGACCUGAGAGGGUGAUCGGCCACACUGGGACUGAGACACGGCACAGACUCCUACGGGAGGACGCAGUAGGGAAUCUUCCGCAAUGGACGAAAGUCUGACGGAGCAAUGCCGCGUGAGUGAAGAAGGUUUUCGGAUCGUAAAACUCUGUUGUAAGGGAAGAACAAGUACGUUAGUAACUGAACGUACCUUGACGGUACCUUACCAGAAAGCCACGGCUAACUACGUG
rnacentral:rRNA from 1 species